AUGUUUUGGAAGCUACAAAAGACUUUCCUCAUUUGUGUGAUUCUGGGGCCCUAUUGAAUAUACUGAUUCGUGGAGUCAAGUGGCUUAGGCAGGCCUUGGAAGUAAUUUCUGGAUCACACAAUUCUAGGAGAAGCAAGUCAAGCGAAGUUGACAAUUUAUUAGAGAUUACCAGACUAUUAAUAUUCCUUUUGCAGCAAUAGUCUACCAACUUGAAGAAGCCAUUGGAAAACAUAAAAUGUGGCAAGAACAGGCACAUCAAUUCCUUAGCCUUUGUUCUGGGAAACGGUCUUGGGUAUCAAUGUUGAAACUCAAGGAAUUAGGUGAUAAGGUUGCCUUCACCUGCAGAGAACUAGAUUUGAUAUCAUCUGAAGUUGAGAAAGUGGAGAAUUGGA